rnacentral:rRNA from 1 species
ACGCCUAACACAUGCAAGUCGAACGCAGUAGCAAUACUGAGUGGCAGACGGGUGAGUAUAAUGUGGGAAUCUGCCUUUUGGUUCGGAAUAACUCGGGGAAACUUGAGCUAAUACCGGAUAAGCCCUUACGGGGAAAGAUUUAUCGCCGAAAGAUGAGCCCGCACUUGAUUAGCUAGUUGGUGAGGUAAUUGCUCACCAAGGCAACAAUCAAUAGCUGUUCUUAGAGGAAGACCAGCCACAUUGGGACUGAGACACGGCCCAAACUCCUACGGGAGGCAGCAGUGGGGAAUCUUGCACAAUGGGGGAAACCCUGAUGCAGCGAUGCCGCGUGAGUGAAGAAGGCCUUUGGGUUGUAAAACUCUUUCGUCGGGGAAGAAAAUGACUGUACCCGAAUAAGAAGGUCCGGCUAACUUCGUGCCAGCAGCCGCGGUAAUACGAAGGGACCUAGCGUAGUUCGGAAUUACUGGGCUUAAAGAGCUCGUAGGUGGUUAAAAAAGUUGGUGGUGAAAUCCCAAGGCUUAACCUUGGAACUGCCAUCAAAACUUUUUAGCUUGAGUGUGAUAGAGGAAAGUGGAAUUUCUAGUGUAGAGGUGAAAUUCGUAGAUAUUAGAAAGAACACCAAAUGCGAAGGCAACUUUCUGGAUCACUACUGACACUGAGGAGCGAAAGCAUGGGUAGCGAAGAGGAUUAGAUACCCUCGUAGUCCAUGCUGUAAACGAUGUGUGCUAGACGUUGGAAAUUUUAUUUUCAGUGUCGCAGCAAAAGCGUUAAGCACACCGCCUGGGGAGUACGAC